GACGUAGGGCGCGAGCGUUGUCCGGAUUUAUUGGGCGUAAAGGGCUCGUAGGCGGUUUGUCGCGUCGGGAGUGAAAACCAGGUGCUUAACACCUGGCUUGCUUUCGAUACGGGCAGACUAGAGGUAUUCAGGGGAGAACGGAAUUCCUGGUGUAGCGGUGAAAUGCGCAGAUAUCAGGAGGAAUACCGAUGGCGAAGGCAGGUCUCUGGGCUAUAACUGACGCUCAUGCACGAAAGCGUGGGGAGCAAACAGG
rnacentral:rRNA from 1 species